rnacentral:rRNA from 1 species
GGGAUUGCCUCAGUAGCGGCGAGUGAAGCGGCAAGAGCUCAGAUUUGAAAUCGUGCUUUGCGGCACGAUUGUAGAUUGCAGGUUGGAGUCUGUGUGGAAGGCGGUGUCCAAGUCCCUUGGAACAGGGCGCCCAGGAGGGUGAGAGCCCCGUGGGAUGCCGGCGGAAGCAGUGAGGCCCUUCUGACGAGUCGAGUUGUUUGGGAAUGCAGCUCCAAGCGGGUGGUAAAUUCCAUCUAAGGCUAAAUACUGGCGAGAGACCGAUAGCGAACAAGUACUGUGAAGGAAAGAUGAAAAGCACUUUGAAAAGAGAGUGAAACAGCACGUGAAAUUGUUGAAAGGGAAGGGUAUUGCGCCCGACAUGGGGAUUGCGCACCGCUGCCUCUCGUGGGCGGCGCUCUGGGCUUUCCCUGGGCCAGCAUCGGUUCUUGCUGCAGGAGAAGGGGUUCUGGAACGUGGCUCUUCGGAGUGUUAUAGCCAGGGCCAGAUGCUGCGUGCGGGGACCGAGGACUGCGGCCGUGUAGGUCACGGAUGCUGGCAGAACGGCGCAACACCGCCCGUCUUGAAACAUGGACCAAGGAGUCUAACGUCUAUGCGAGUGUUUGGGUGUGAAACCCGUACGCGUAAUGAAAGUGAACGUAGGUCGGACCCCCUGCCCUCGGGGAGGGGAGCACGAUCGACCGAUCCCGAUGUUUAUCGGAAGGAUUUGAGUAGGAGCAUAGCUGUUGGGACCCGAAAGAUGGUGAACUAUGCCUGAAUAGGGUGAAGCCAGAGGAAACUCUGGUGGAGGCUCGUAGCGGGUUCUGACGUGCAAAUCGAUCGUCGAAUUUGGGUAUAGGGGGCGAAAGACUAAUCGAACCAUCUAGUAGCUGGUUCCUGCCGAAGUUUUCCCCUCAAGGAA